UCCCUGUAGGACUAGUGGUUAGGCCACAGUGCUAUCACUGCGGCGGCCCAGGUUCAAUUCUUGGCCAGGGAA
rnacentral:tRNA from 1 species